CGGAAGGGUCGAACCGGUUGAACCGGAACCCAAACCGAGCCCGUUGGUCCAACCGGACCCAUAACAUAAAUGAAGCAGCAGCUUCAUCUUCUCCAUUUCACAAAAGCAACGAAACACACAGCAAGAGGGGAGGAGAAGAAACCUAACCCUCACCUUUCCUUCUCACCAUCAUAACUCCUCCGUCCGGGCUCCAAUCGCCGCACCGUUCGCGGCCACGCGCUUAGCGCGUCGAGCUCUACCUUUCUAUCUGAACAAUUUCACUGGAAAGCCUCCUAUUAAGUUCAGAAUUUCUAUCCCUCUUUCUUGGGUAAACUUGAAAACAUAUGGUGAAUCUUGUCCAAUUUCUAUGUUCUAGGUUCAAGUUAGCUUUCGGAACAUGUGGGCUCAAGCUAUUGAGCAUAUGGGUAUGGUGUAGGUUAAGUGGGUGUUUAUGCAUUGGAAUUGAUUUAGGAUUACUUGGAGGUUUGUUGGUGACCAAGGCUUACUUUGGGGCUGUUUAAUUGAGCUUGGAGGGGCUGUAAUUUUGUGUUGAGAGGUUGCCUUGGGUGAAUUAAGUGAUCGGCCAAGGUAUAGUUUAAGUUUCGCACGUUUAAUAUUUACGGUGUUGUGAAAACUUAGGUUAGAGGAACCAUAGGAUAAGUUGAAUUGUUGGUUGUAUUUAAUGAUUAGCCUUGUAAUGUUGUUGGAAUAUAUUUGUUGGUGGAUAUAUAUUAGAAUUAUGAGGUGUGGAAGUUAUUAAUGGUGUGCUCUUAUAUUUAUUUAUGAUGGAUUAGGAUUGGUGUUUGUUAAUAAGGAUGUAGAGUUGUGUUAUGGUGGUA